rnacentral:lncRNA from 1 species
AAAACCCUUUGAAAUGCCUCCCCUCCAUCACUGCCAACAUUGUCUGCUGCCCGCGGGGGGCCUGGCACGGCCCCUCCGGGGCUCCCGCCCCCAGCUUGGACUGGGCCUGCCGNNNNNNNNNNNNNNNNNNNNNNNNNNNNNNNNNNNNNNNNNNNNNNNNNNNNNGCAGGCCGGCAUCUGGGAAUGGACAGAAGAACUCACUCAGAACUGGCUGGGACACAUGGACUGGAACUUCUGGGGAGGAGAGAGAACCUAACACUGACACUGGGGCAGAUCCUGGGGCCCCUUGCCUGAGAGGAAAUUGGAGGACAUCCAGCAGAUCAGAAAGGCCCUGGGGAGGGAAGAAGAGGAUAACAGAGGAGGGAGGAAGAGACAACUGCCUGGGAUUCAGUCAAGUGAAAUCAGCUCAUGUGGCCCCUGCCUAUCUGAUCGAGAUUUAGUAGGCAAUUGACAAAAGGCCUUGGAAGCAGGAGCAGUGGAACAAGUGACUGGACCUGACACCCCCUCCCCCAAGCCUCAGACCUGGUGACUUGAUAAGUCUGUUUCCAGGGACGCACUUGUCUCUUGAGGUUUCUUCUCUCCCACCUUCUUUCCAGAGAGGCCCAAGAAAGUCAAGGGACAGGGGCAGUUGGGUGGCACAGUGGGAUAGAGCACCAGGCCUGGAGUCUGCAGGACCUCCAUUCAAAUUUGCCUUUAAACACUUCCUCACUGAAUGGCCCUGGGCAAGUCACUUAACCUUCUUUCCCACUUUUCAGUCUUAGAACUGAUUUCUAAGACAGAAAAAAAAAAGAAAGUCAAGGGGAAGACGUACCUGGAGCUGGAUGGUGUAAGGGGGGAAGGACUUGGAGGAUGGGGCUUUCACUGAGCAUACUCAGUCUCCUUCCUCUCUGUUCUCCAUCAGCCAAUGGCCUUGACUUAACCUCCCUUCCCUCCCUCCUUCCUGUACCCUGUUCCCUCCCUAAUCUCAUGAAAGAGAAUCUGGAUGCAGGAUUCCUUGAAACAGAAAAAAGAAGACAAGGAGAAUGCUUUCUGGAAGGUGGAACUGCUCAGAAGUCAGGCCUCCUAGGGAAAGGCUCCUCACCCGUGGUGGAAGUUUUCACAUCCUGGCUCCCUCCUAAGAUAAGAAAAUUGAGGCUAAUAGAAGGGGAACUCGACUGUCAUAGUGCAAAGAGACCUGGUCUUGAGCAUUAAAAAUCUCAAAUUCAAAUUCUAGCUCUUCAACCUGAUGACACCUUGGUUUGAAGUGGUGGGACAUCAAGGUCUAUAUGUCCUCGCCCUCGGUGGAACUGCUGACCUGUGUCUCAGAAGAGCCACCGUGAGAAAGAGGACAGUUAGCCCGCUGGACAUCUCCCUCCCAUUUCAACGCUACCGACUGAUGGAGAAAGACUGAAAGAAUAAAAAAGGUCAGAUGAACA